UACGUAGGGGGCUAGCGUUGUCCGGAAUCAUUGGGCGUAAAGCGCGUGUAGGCGGUCCGGUAAGUCCGCUGUGAAAGUCGGGGGCUCAACCCUCGGAUGCCGGUGGAUACUGUCGGGCUUGAGUACGGAAGAGGCGAGUGGAAUUCCUGGUGUAGCGGUGAAAUGCGUAGAUAUCAGGAGGAACACCUGUGGUGUAGACGGCUCUCUGGACCGCAACUGACGCUGAGACACGAAAGCGUGGGUAGCAAACAGG
rnacentral:rRNA from 1 species